GACGAACGCUGGCGGCGUGCUUAACACAUGCAAGUCGAACGGAAAGGCCCUGCGUUUGUGGGGUUCUCGAGUGCCGAACGGGUGAGUAACACGUGAGUAACCUGCCCUUGUCUUUCGGAUGACUUCACGUAACUGGGGCUAAUACCAUACCGCAUCUCCUGCUCCAUGGUGGGGGUUGGAACGUCUCGGCGGUUGGGGCUGGACUCGCGGGUUAUCAGCUAGUUAGUUGGCUAGUGGCUUACCCAGGCUUAGAAGGGUAGCCGGCCUGAGUGGGUGGCCGGCGACAUUGGGACUGCGAGACGGAGCAGACUCCUACGGGAGGCAGCAGUGGGGAAUAUUGCACAAUGGGCGGAAGCCGGAGGAAGAAACGCCGCGGGCGGAAAGACGGUCUUCGGGGUGUGAACAGCAUCAGCCUGUGACGCAGCGGGAGUGACGGUAAUCAGUAAAGAAGCACCGGCUAACUACGUG
rnacentral:rRNA from 1 species